AGACAUGCAAGUCGAACGCGAAAGUUUCCUUCGGGGAGCGAGUAGAGUGGCGCACGGGUGAGUAACACGUAGGUAAUCUACCUUUGGAUGGGGAAUAACAACCGGAAACGGUUGCUAAUACCGCAUAAUGCAGCGGCACCUAAUGGUGACAGUUGUUAAAGCGGGGGAUCGAAAGACCUCGCGUCUGAAGAGGAGCCUGCGGCGGAUUAGCUAGUUGGUAAGGUAAUGGCUUACCAAGGCUAUGAUCCGUAACCGGCCUGAGAGGGCGGUCGGUCACACUGACACUGACAUACGGGUCAGACUCCUACGGGAGGCAGCAGUCGGGAAUUUUGGGCAAUGGGCGAAAGCCUGACCCAGCAACGCCGCGUGAAGGAUGAAAUCCCUCGGGAUGUAAACUUCGCAAGAACAGGAAGAAUAAGUAAGGGUUAAUAUCUCUUACGAUGACGGUACUGUUUGUAAGCUCCGGCUAACUCCGUGCCAGCAGCCCGCGGUAAUACGGGGGGAGCAAGCGUUGUUCGGAUUUACUGGGCGUAAAGGGCGCGUAGGCGGCCACCCGCAAGUCGGUUGUGAAAUCUCUGGGCUUAAC
rnacentral:rRNA from 1 species